GACGAACGCUGGCGGCGUGCUUAACACAUGCAAGUCGAACGGAAAGGCCCUGCUUUUGUGGGGUGCUCGAGUGGCGAACGGGUGAGUAACACGUGAGUAACCUGCCCUUGACUUUGGGAUAACUUCAGGAAACUGGGGCUAAUACCGGAUAGGAGCUCCUGCUGCAUGGUGGGGGAUGGAAAGUUUCGGCGGUUGGGGAUGGACUCGCGGCUUAUCAGCUUGUUGGUGGGGUAGUGGCUUACCAAGGCUUUGACGGGUAGCCGGCCUGGGAGGGUGACCGGCCACAUUGGGACUGAGAUACGGCCCAGACUCCUACGGGAGGCAGCAGUGGGGAAUAUUGCACAAUGGGCGGAAGCCUGAUGCAGAGACGCCGCGUGCGGGAUGACGGCCUUCGGGUUGUAAACCGCUUUCGCCUGUGACGAAGCGUGAGUGACGGUAAUGGGUAAAGAAGCACCGGCUAACUACGUG
rnacentral:rRNA from 1 species